GUCGAGGGGCAGCAUAUGGAUUGCUUGCAAUCCAUGAUGGCGACCGGCGCACGGGUGCGUAACGCGUAUGUAACUUGCCUUAUGCAGGAGGAUAACCCGAAGAAAUUCGGCCUAAUACUCCAUAAGUGUCAGAGAGGCAUCUUUCGGGCAUGAAAGAUUUAUCGGCAUAAGAUAGACAUGCGUGACAUUAGCUAGUCGGUGAGGUAACGGCUCACCGAGGCGACGAUGUCUAGGGGUUCUGAGAGGAAGGUCCCCCACACUGGUACUGAGACACGGACCAGACUCCUACGGGAGGCAGCAGUGAGGAAUAUUGGUCAAUGGGCUUACGCCUGAACCAGCCAAGUCGCGUGAGGGAAGACUGCCCUACGGGUUGUAAACCUCUUUUGUCAGGGAGCAACGCCGGCUACGUGUAGCCGGACUGAGAGUACCUGAAGAAAAAGCAUCGGCUAACUCCGUGCCAGCAGCCGCGGUAAUACGGAGGAUGCGAGCGUUAUCCGGAUUUAUUGGGUUUAAAGGGUGCGUAGGCGGAAUGCCAAGUCAGCGGUAAAAUCGCGGGGCUCAACCUCGCUCCGCCGUUGAAACUGGCGUUCUUGAGUGGGCGAGAAGUAUGCGGAAUGCGUGGUGUAGCGGUGAAAUGCAUAGAUAUCACGCAGAACUCCGAUUGCGAAGGCAGCAUACCGGCGCCCAACUGACGCUGAAGCACGAAAGCGUGGGUAUCGAACAGGAUUAGAUACCCUGGUAGUCCACGCAGUAAACGAUGAAUACUAG
rnacentral:rRNA from 1 species